rnacentral:rRNA from 1 species
UUACGGCUAUAUCACGUUGAAACACCAGUUCUCGUACGAUCACCGAAGUUAAGCAACAUCGAGCCUGGUCAGUACAUAGAUGGGUGACUUCUUGGGAAAUUAGAUG